AUGUUCGGGCGCGGGCCGCCGAAGAAGAGCGACAGCACGCGCUACUACGAGAUCCUGGGCGUGCCCAAGGACGCGUCCCAGGACGACCUCAAGAAGGCCUACCGCAAGGCCGCCAUCAAGAACCACCCCGACAAGGGAGGCGACCCAGAGAAGUUCAAGGAGCUAGCUCAGGCUUAUGAGGUUCUGAGUGAUCCUGAGAAGCGAGAGAUCUAUGACCAGUAUGGUGAGGAUGCCCUCAAGGAGGGAAUGGGAGGUGGAGGAAUGCAUGAUCCUUUUGACAUCUUCCAGUCAUUCUUUGGUGGUGGCGGCAACCCCUUCGGAGGUGGCGGGAGCAGUAGGGGCAGGCGGCAGCGCAGGGGUGAGGAUGUGGUUCAUCCUCUGAAGGUUAGCCUUGAGGAACUGUACAACGGAACAUCAAAGAAGCUCUCUCUUGCCCGCAAUGUGCUCUGCUCGAAGUGCAAUGGCAAGGGGUCAAAGUCCGGGGCUUCGAUGAAGUGUGCCGGCUGCCAAGGUGCUGGUUACAAGGUGCAGAUAAGGCAGCUGGGACCAGGAAUGAUUCAGCAAAUGCAGCAGCCUUGCAAUGAGUGCAGGGGAAGUGGGGAGACCAUCAGCGACAAGGAUCGCUGUGGGCAGUGCAAAGGCGAGAAGGUGGUGCACGAGAAGAAAGUCCUGGAGGUGGUGGUCGAGAAGGGAAUGCAGCAUGGGCAGAAGAUCACCUUCCCCGGCGAGGCGGAUGAAGCGCCUGAUACUGUUACUGGAGACAUAAUCUUCGUCCUCCAGCAGAAGGAGCACCCCAAAUUCAAGCGGAAGGGCGAUGACCUCUUCUACGAGCACACCCUGACCCUGACCGAGGCACUGUGUGGCUUCCAGUAUGUCCUGGCUCAUUUGGACGGCAGGCAGCUGCUCAUCAAGUCCAACCCUGGCGAAGUCGUCAAGCCUGAUUCGUUCAAGGCGAUCAACGACGAGGGCAUGCCCAUGUACCAGAGGCCGUUCAUGAAGGGCAAGCUGUACAUCCACUUCACGGUUGAUUUUCCCGACUCGCUGAGCCUGGACCAGUGCAAGGCGCUCGAGACUGUCCUGCCGCCCAAGCCGGCGUCGCAGUACACGGACAUGGAGCUGGACGAGUGCGAGGAGACGAUGGCCUACGACAUUGACAUCGAGGAGGAGAUGCGGAGGCGACAGCAGCAGCAGGCACAGGAGGCCUACGACGAGGACGAGGACAUGCCCGGUGGCGGCGGCCAGCGGGUGCAGUGCGCCCAGCAGUAG
rnacentral:rRNA from 1 species